rnacentral:rRNA from 1 species
GUCGUCAGUUCGUGUCGUGAGAUGUUUGGUUCAUUCCUUUAAACGAGCGUAACUCUUAUUUUUAAAAAUUUACUUUUAAUUUUUGAUUUUCAUCAAGAAUUUUUGCUUUAAAAAAACUGUUUGUUAACAAUUAAUACUUUAAAGGAAGGUGAGAAUUAAGUCAAGUCACUGUGGCCCUUAUGGGUUGGGCUACACACGUGCUACAAUGAAAAUGACAAAAAGUAACAAAAAUUAAAAACUUUCGUUAAUCUUUAAAAAUUUUCUUAGUUCAGAUUGUAAACUGCAACCCGUUUACAUAAAGAUGGAAUCACAAGUAAUCGCAAAUCAGAACGUUGCGGUGAAUACGUACCUUGGCUUUGUACACACCGCCCGUCACAUGCAGAAAGCUAGUUUUACUUUAAAUUAAAUUUUUUUUAUUUGUUCAAUUGAAGUGUUCAUAUGUGAAUAAAUAAAAAAUUUAAUCAUUAAAAAAUUAGUAAUUUGGAUG